rnacentral:rRNA from 1 species
UGGGGGAUAUUGCACAAUGGGGGAAACCCUGAUGCAGCGACGCCGCGUGAGUGAAGAAGUAUUUCGGUAUGUAAAGCUCUAUCGGCAGGGAAGAAAAAAAUGACAGUACCUGACUAAGAAGCCCCGGCUAACUACGUGCCAGCAGCCGCGGUAAUACGUAGGGGGCAAGCGUUAUCCGGAUUUACUGGGUGUAAAGGGAGCGUAGGCGGCCACGCAAGUCAGAAGUGAAAACCCGGGGCUCAACCCUGGGAGUGCUUUUGAAACUGUGCGGCUAGAGUGUCGGAGGGGUAAGUGGAAUUCCUA